GGGCUUGAAGUGUGGCUCAGUUGGUAAAGGGCUUGCCACGGAAGCAUGGGGACCUGAGUUCAAUCCCCAGAGCCCA
rnacentral:tRNA from 1 species